rnacentral:lncRNA from 1 species
ACGGGUUUUUUCUUGCAGAUGCUCUCGUGCAGUUGCAAUGUGGAGGAAAUGUGGUUUCUACAUCAACCACCAAUGGAUCAGGGAUGUUUUCUAUUUUGUUGGAUCCUCUAAAUUAUAUUCUUUCCUCGGUAUUGAGCGACUGCAACCUGAAGGUCGAUACACCGCUGAUCAGCUGCAACUCGAGUCUCCCUGCUGUGGGUGGCCUCCUAUCACCCUUACGGUUCAUCGGGAACACUGCUCUAGGAGCCCUCCUGAGUGUGGCAAACAUCAUCCCUGCCGGAUUCCGAUUCGUGCCUUGAAAUUAAGGAGACCACCGUAGCUGAAGGAGACAUUAUUAUUAUUAGUAUGGCCAUUGCUAUGUACUACUUUAUAUGAAUAAGGCUGUUGUAUUAUACGUGUGUACUGUUUAUUGUUUUUUCUUGCUUCCCAAGGAAUAAAGGUCAUGAUUGGCUAUGCAUUAUAUAUAUGUAAUAUUUUAGCGAGUCUAAAUUACGAGGGGCCUUACUAAAAAAAACGUAGCAAGUAAUUUUGAUGCAAAUAAAACUAAAAUUUGUUGCUAAAAACAUUUAGCAACAAAAUUAGCAACAUCGGAAGUAUUAUAUGCAGAUUUGUUUUUGUUGAUUUUAUAAUAGAGGAUUUGUCGGUUGUUGAUUUAUCAGUAAUGAAUAAUCUAUUGCUCACAAAUUAGCAAUGGAUUUUCCGUUGCUAACAAAUUAGAAUAGUCUGUUGCUGGUUUUUUGAAUUAUUUACAAUCAACAACGAAAAAUCCGUAGCUAAUUAUAUGAUUUUUAUUUAAUUAAUAUAUAUAUAUUUUUAUCCAAAUGACUUUUAAUUUUUUAAUUUAUUAUUUAUGGAUAUUUUGAAAGUUGUAGAAUAUAUAUAAGAAACAUAAAUUAAUAUUUAAAAUUACUUUAUCACCAAUAAUAAAUGGAAUAAAAAUAAAAUUCAUAAUAUAAGUAAAAAUUUAGUUAAACUUACACUAAUGCAAAUAAGUCAAAAUACAAUAAAAAGAUACAAUUAUGGUGCUUGUUGUGGAGAUGAACCAUGAUAUUGUGGAUCAACAUAAGAUGAAUUAUGACAUGAUGGUCGAGGUGUAGGUCAAUAUAUUGGUGGAGAUGUGGGAUCCAUAGGUGUCAUUUUAUGGGGAGCCAUAAGUGCUGGCAUACCUUGGCCAAUGUUUGAUGUCCCACCAUGAUAUCCAAGAUUGUUCAUAAGAUAUUCUUUCAUAGAAUCCAUCUGUCGUUUCAUUUCAAAAAUAAAAUCAUCUCUUUUCUUUAUCCCGCUUCUUUUUUCUUUAUCUCCUUUUGCAAUGCUCGAUAAGAUGAAUUAGGAUAUUGUGACUUCACCGAGUAGGAAUGUGAUGAAGAACUUGUAAUCACUAUAGAUUUUGGCAUACGAGGUGCACUAUAUACCCUACCCUUUGUAACUCCUCCUGAAGCCACACACCAAGCUGCUCCAUCAAAUGAAGAAUGAUUUUUCCUAUUAGUUCCGUACUUUGAAAUCAUCUCCUUCUUAUCAUUUUCCUUAAAAAUAAAAUACAUACAAUAAUAAAUUCAUUUGAAUGUUAAAUAGUAUUUAAGUUAUAUAAAUAAAUAAAUAAAAAUACAUACAAUCACUUUCUUAGACUUGCUAUUUACAAAGAUUCUAAACUGCUUAGUACUUUGAUGCAAAGCUGAAACGACAUCAUCUCAUGAAGGUUUUUUUUCUACCAACUUGCUUUUGCUAGGAAUUAUGAAAGAACAUGUCCAUCAUGAACUCUCAUAAGUCUCUCAUCAUUUUGACAAUAUCUUGCAUUGGACUGUGUAAUUCAACACCUUCGAUGCGGACCUGGAUUUCGGGUAGAAAUCAUGAUGCUAUUUUAUGACAUGGAAAACAAAAUUAGGGUAUUUUUUUAAACCUUUAUGAACUCUCACAACUCUCACAAGGCUCUCACCAUUUUGACGAUCUUUUGUAAUGGACUGUGUAAUUCAACACCUUCAAUUCAGACCUGGAUUUUAGCUAGAAAUCUUGACGCUAUUUUAUGAUAUGGAAAACAAAAUUAUGUUUUAAUUAUAUAUAUAUGGGUCCCUGCAUUCUUCAUUAUGUUUAAAAACUUCCCCAUCCCUUUUUACCUCACUUUUUUCUAGUUUUGAUCAAGGUUGUCAAUUUCGUUCUGUUUUGUUUGGAAUCACCGAAACAUUUCAUAUCUAUUAAAAAACAUAACAAAACAGAACAAGUUUCAUCUUAUUUUAAAUCUCGGUCCAUUCCGGAGUUUUUGACUAAAUUUUGACUGGAAUGUUCCGGUUUCAUUCCACAUAUUUCAUUCCGGUCUUGAAAAGCCAUUGAAUCAAAUUGAAUCUGGUUCAAUUUAAUUAAUUAAACCACCCAAGUAUAAAAAGCUUUUUUUAAUUACUAUUUUCAAUAACAAUGAUAUUAAUAAUAAUAUUGAAAAUUAUUAUUACUAUUUUCAUUAACAAUGAUAAUAAAUUUUUAAAAUUAGAUUUAUCACUAAUAUAUAUGGUUUAUUUUCAUGUUUUUUUUUCAUGUUUAUACUUUGGAGAAAUUUGAGCAAAACAAGGGAUGCUUUAGAUCCCAUUAGCCUCGAUAACGUUGAACUACUUUAUAUGUAAAAUAUUGGUAUUAAAACAUUUUACUUUCAUAAUAUUUUGAUAUUUUGUUUAAGUUAGUUGAGAAUAAUGGAAUGUGUUGGGUUGUGCCUUAGCCAACCCUCCUAUUUAUAUAGAGGCAGCAGAACACUGCAGUAACUAUAAUGAUUACAACAUCCUAUAUUACUUUCCUAUCCUGAUAGAUACAUGAGUAACUGUAAUGAUAACAACAUCCUAUAUUAAUUUCCUAUUCUACAAUAUGCCCCCUCAAGUUGAGGGUGGGGGAUCAACUCGAAGCUUGAACCGAAAAGAAGUAAAGGAUGCAACAGGAAGCGGUUUAGUGAAGACAUCGGGCAAGUUGAUCCCGAGAGGGAACAAAAUGAAUCUGAAUUUCUUUCUUGGCAACACGGUCACGGACAAAGUGAUAAUCCACUUCAACAUGCUUUGUACGGGUAUGGAAGAUAGGAUUUGCUGAGAGAUAGGUAGCACCAAGAUUAUCACACCAAAUGAUAGGAGCAGAGACUGAGGGAACCUGCAAAUCUGUUAACAAGUAUUGAAGCCAAAUGACUUCAGUGGUACCAUCAUCAAGGGCUUUAUACUCAGCCUCAGUAGAGGAGUGAGCAAUAGUGCGUUGCUUGCCGGAUUUCCAAGAAAUCGGCGUCUGACCAAAAAAGACAAGAUAGCCGCCCGUAAACUUGCGAUCAUCAAUACUACCAGCCCAAUCUGUAUCUAUAAAGCCAUGUAGAGCAAAAGAGGAGCCUUGAGUGAUAUGGAAACCAUAAGAUGUCGUACCUUUAAGAUAGCGUAAAAUACGUUUGACAGCGGCCCAAUGAGAAUAUGUAAGAGCAUGCAUAAACUGACAGACUCUGUUAACAACAAAGCAUAUAUCUGGACGGGUGAAGGUAAGAUAUUGAAGAGCACCCACGAUUUGAUGAAAUCGUGCAGGAUCAGAGAAUGGAUGAUCCGAUAAUAAAAUGACUUUCGAAGGGGAGACUGAAGUAUCAACUGGUUUGCAGGAAGUCAUACCAGCUCGGGUGAGGAUGUCAAGAAUAUAUUUAUGUUGAUGCAGCAUUAAACCCAUACCGGUAGACUGAACUUCAAUACCUAGAAAGUAGUGAACAACACCUAAGUCACGAAGCUUGAACUCAGAGCUGAGUAACUGUAUAAGGUGAUGGAGCAUAACAGAGUUGCUACCCGUGAGCAGAAUAUCAUCAACAUACACCAGGAGAUAAAAGAUAUUGGUACCAUCAGAUAAGAUAAACAGGGAGGUGUCAACCUUGGAAGCUUGGAAAUCGACGGAGAGCAAAAAAUCACUUAGACGAGUGUACCAUGCUCUCGGUGCCUAUUUCAAACCGUACAAUGAUUUGUGCAAUCUGCACACAUGAGAUUGAAGAGAAGAGUCAACGAAACCUGGAGGCUGUUUCAUGUAGACCUCUUCAGUAAGAACACCAUUGAGGAAGGCAUUAUGAAUAUCAAGCUGAUGAAUCUUCCAAUUUCGCGAAACCGCGAUAGAGAAAACUAAUCGUACAGUGGCCUGCUUAAUAACUGGACUAAAGGUUUCAGAAUAAUCAAUACCUUCCUGCUGGGUAAAACCUCUAGCAACAAAGCACGCUUUAUAGCCCUCAAUACUACCAUCAACACGAUGUUUGAUCCGAUAUACCCAUCUACUGCCAACAACAUUCAUCGAAGGAUAAAAUGGAACCAAAGACCAAGUGUGAUUUUCGCGUAAAGCGGCGAUCUCAUUACACAUAGCAUUAUGCCAAACUGCAUACCGGUCAGCAUCAGAGAAUGAAAAAGGCUCAGAAGAGGGAGAAUACAGUACCCGUGGAGGUAGAAGUAGUGGCAGCGGAAGCAACCAGAUUAGCUGUCUUCGGCUGCCGCGGUCUAAGAGUCAUAAGAUGUCUGUUGUGUGCUUGUGGAGACGCAGGGGAAGAUGGUUGUAGUGAGGAGACCUGUGGCAGCUGAUAAAAAGACAAAUCAACCAUAAGUUGCAGACCAGCGGGAGAUGAUGAUAAAGAAGCAGCCUCAAGCACAGGACUGUCAGUAGAGGAGGGGCUGAAAGCAGAGUUUAAAGUUGCAGGAGUGCUGGCUAGGGAGGGCGAAGUAGAGGAGGGACUAGAAAGUGCCCCAAGACCAUGAGGAGAGGAGACCAAUUGACGAUCUGAACCUGCAUCAUAAGGGUUAGAUAAACAAGCAUGGGAUGAUGGCCAAGGGAUGGGUGGAGGCUGUGGUCGGGUGGCUGUUUGGAGUGGUAGAGCGGAGUGUUGUGGGCUGUUUGGGUGGCUAGUGAAAGUGGGUGGCGGUGGGUGGUUUAGCAAAUUUGGGAGGGUGACAGUAGCGGGUGGGGUGGGGGUUGUGGUGGAGACCUUUGCAAUCUGUUCAGAAUUAUCAAAUGGAAACACAUGUUCAUGGAAGCGGACAUGGCGAGAAAUAUAAAUACAAUGAGAUGCAAUGUCAAGACAUCGAUAAAUAAUAUGCGAGGAACUAUAUCCAAAAAACACACAUGGAGAGGAAUGAAAAUCCAAUUUAUGAUUAUUAUAUGGAUGCAGAAAAGGAAAACAGAGACACCCAAAGGUACGCAAAAAAUGAUAAUCAGGAGACCGUUGAAAUAAACAAUCAAACGGAGAGCGAUGGGCAAGAACAGAAGUAGGCAUGCGAUUUAUAAGAUAAACAGAGGUUUCAAAAGCAUAAUUCCAGAAUCGAAAAGGUGUUUUACAUUGCCCUAAAAGAGUAAGACCUGUCUUAUGACGACGCUCUACUGUUCCAUUUUGUUCAUGAGUGUGGGGAUAAAUCAGACGAUGAUGAAUACCAAUGGUCUGAAAAAAAUAUGGAUAGUUUUUGGUAUUCACCGCCCCAAUCAGUUUGAACAUAUUUUAAACUUUAAUGAAAAUUGACGUUCGACAAGAGUUUGAAAUUGAUGAAAAACAGAGUAAACAUCAGACUUGGCAACGAGAGGAUAAUACCAUAUAUAUUUAGUAUAAGCACAACAAAGAUAACAAAAUAACAAUAGCCAUCUGAAGAAAAAAGAGGAGCAAGGCCCCAUACAUCAUUAAAAAUUAAUUCAAGUGGAGCAGAAGUUUUGUGACAUGUAGGUCCUAAAGACAAACGCGAUGAUUUUCCUAAAGGACAACUUUGACAUUGAAAAUUAAGACGUUUGUUGUUACAAAUGAUCUUAUUUUUCGAGAUUAACAAUUGAAAAAUACGUGAAGUAGGAUGACCUAGUCGACGAUGCCAUAAAUCGGUAGAGGCAGAAGUGCAGGGAGACCAAUAGGCUUGAGGAACUAACGUGAUGGAAGACUUGGUCAGGGUAUAGAGACCAUCUUUACUCUGACCUGAGAGAAGGACUUCAUGGGUGUUGAAAUCCUUGACAUAAAACACACGAGGGUGAAAUUCAAAAUAAACAUUAUUAUCAAGAUAAAAUUUCUGAACAGAGAGCAGAGGUUUUGUGAUUGCAGGAACAUGAAGAACAUUAGAUAAGGUGAAAGAACGAUGUGGUGUAUAUAUUUUUGUAUGACCAAGAUGAGAUAUAGGAAGGCCCUUACCAUCACCAACAUGCAAAUUAUCAUUACCAAGAUACGGUUCUGAAGCGGUCAAGGUGGCAAGAUCAGGUGUGACGUGUUGAUUGGCACCGGUAUCUGGAAACCAAUCAACAGAACCGGUUGAGGAGAGAUUGCGCUGCACCAGGUUGGCAGUAGGUUGUUGGCCAUAACCUCGCUGCUGGAAUUGAGGGCAAUGGGGAGCUGUAUGGCCGAAAUUCUGACAUAGUUGGCAGCGUGGAUUCUGCCCCUAUUGCGCUGCAAGAGCCCUGCCUAUUGUCACGAAGGAGGAGUUUUGGAAGCUGCGGUGAUCAGGUCUGGAGCCAGCAAAUCGGUUGCCUGCUGUUGGACUGGUUGACGCCAGCCACCGUUGAAGCGGCCCCUGCUGCGGCCAGAAUUGCCAAAAGUCUGGCGCUGCGCAACAAGAGCAGAAGAUGGAAUGCUGGGUGUGGGCAGCAGAGGAGCAUGUAUGGCAGCAAGAUUUGUGAAGAAAUUCAUGUGUGAGGAGAUGGCUGUGAAGAUCUGCAUAUGAUAAAGGUUCAGCCUUGGUAAUAAGACUGGUAACUAAGUCUUUAAACUCUCCCCGAAGACCACGAAACACAUAUAAAUUGAAAUCUUCAAGCGAAACUGGCCGACCACAGCGACCAAUUCAUCAAAUAAGGCCUUCGCUUUUUGCAUAAAUUGAGUUACUGAUUCAUCACCCUGUCGAAGAUCCUGAAGAGAGCCGUGAAGUUGCAUAAUACGAGAGUUGGAGGUGGAAGCGAGAGCUCGCUCAAGAGUGCCCCAAGCUGAACAAGAACUUUGACAGCCAACAACAAGAUGCAAAACUUCUAAUAGAUAGGGAGGAAAGAAGAGCACUUAGAAUGAGUUGGUCCUGCUGUUUCCAGGUUUGAAAAAGCGGAUUUACCUAAAGAGAGAUACCAUCAUGGGCAAGAACAUGUGUUGAUGGACAUGUGUUGGAGCCAUCAACAAAACCAAAAACUCAUUCGCCUAAGAGAUAAGACAACAUCUGCAUACGCCAAUAUAAAUAAUUGGUGUUUGUUAAUUUGAGGGAGAUGACUUAAUCAGUGUGAGAAAGGGAGAUAAUGCUUGCGGCAGUAGAGGCAGCAGACAUGGGCUGCAAGAGGAGGCGUUCACCAGCCAUGGCAGAGGAGAAUCCAGGCGGUGACGCAGUAAAGGAGGCACUGCAAGAGAAGAGGGAUGCACUGCCGGAGAAGAAGAAAACUGGACUGCUGGUGCUGCAUAAUUUGAAGAUGUAUGUGGCGGCUGUUCCAUUGAAGAAGGGAGGCUGAGAGGCUGUGAGAAAAGUAGGUUUAAUUUAUUUUAGGGUUUUGUGGCUCUGAUACCAAGUUGAGAAUAAUGGAAUGUGUUGGGUUGUGCCUUACCAACCUUCCUAUUUAUAUAGAGGCAGCAGAACACUGUAGUAACUGUAAUGAUUACAACAUCCUAUAUUACUUUCCUAUUCUGAUAGAUACAUGAGUAACUGUAAUGAUAACAACAUCCUAUAUUAAUUCCCUAUUCUACAAUAAAGUUAAAUUACUUUAAGUUAAAGAUCUAUUUAAUUUUGAUUAUUUAAAAAAAAUUUAAAAUUUAAAAUUAUAUUUGUUUGACAUUGUGUUUGUAUUGCAUAAUUUAUAAUUAAUUUAUCUUGAAUUUGAAUUAUGUUUGUUGAAUAUAUAUAUAUAUAUAUAUGAACAGUGUAACUCUGAAACGACACGCCGAAACAUUCCAUUCCAAUUAAAAAAAAAAACAAAACACCUAUCAAAACGGAAUUGAAAACCUUGGUUUUGAUUGUAUUUCCAAUUCAAAUAGUAAUUUAUUUGUAUGAAAAGGACUUUUUUUGCUAUCAUUUCUUCUUCUUCUGCGUUCCAUUAUUAUUUAUUUCAAUUUUUAUAAUUUUUAUUGUACAAUUCAAAUUUUGUUAGUGUUCUAAUGUUGUAGACUUAACGAUAAUAUUUAACAUUGUUAACAUGUAAUGAAGAUAAAAAUCAAACCUGCAAAGAUUAAAAUUAGUGCAAAACCAGGUAGAAUAUUUUAAACACAAAACCAGGAACAUGUAACUUAAAUGAACAAUUAAUAGUUGGAAUACCUGAAUUUGAAUCCCUUGUCCUAAAACAUAUAAAAAAAAAUAGCAAGUGGAAUUAGGGAUAUUAAUAGAUAAUGAGGAGGGUUUUAUAUUUGGGAUGACAAUUUAAUCCGAACUCGAUAGAUACCAACCUGAUUUGAAUGAAUGAAUAUACCAACCAGGGUUUUAUAUUUUUGGACUUGAUGGAUAAUGAAUAGGGUAUGGAUGUUAUGAAACACGACCAGAAACCUGUCCAAACCUAAUGUGGAAUAUAUUUUUAUAUUAUAUAAAUAUAUUUUUAAAAUAUUUAGAUUUUUUAAUACAAUAUGAUACAUACAUAUCUUGGUAUUGACAUAAUACACACUUACAUAUAAACUUUUUUAUUUUUUAUUGAUUAAUAAAUAAUAGUAGAUAGUAGAUGAUUAUUUGAUACCUGAAACUCGAUGGAUAAUGAGUAGAGUAUGGAUAUCAAGAAAUCCAACCCGCGAGUACAUUUUGGCAUCCCUGUUUUAUACCAUCUGUACCCGAAUCCAAAUCUAAAAUAACUAGUCGAGUCUGAACGGGUAUGGAUUUUUUAUACACGAACUUGAAUGCUAUAUUUUACAGCUAUUUAGUACAUAAUUAGCUUGCUAUACAUAUAAUUUUCUCAAACUUUAAUAUUAUUUAUUGAUUUCAGGGCAGGUUCGGGUAGACCAAUAUCAUACUAUACUUGGACCUGACUUUUUGCAUUUGAAUUUUACUCGAAACUCAAUUGAGUCUAAAAAAUUUCUAUUUGAAUCGAUUCGAGUUAGUAUCCAUAGGUAAAACUGUCAUCAUAAGUAUAAUCCAAAUACCAUAAUCUUUGGCAAUGAUAUGCUUUGCUAUUAGUUCUACCAUGACAACUAACAAAACUAUCACACACAACAAAAAAAAGCUAUGAAAUUAUGUUAAAGAGCCAUUUCAACCCAAUAACUUAAGUUGUUAUGUAAGGUUUCAAGAUAUAAUUUAUAUUAUUUUAUAAUAAAUCUGAUAUUAUUUACGUUUAAGGGAAUCUUAAUGCCCUCACUGAGAAGCUAAGCAGAGGCGAGAACCGGGCGACAGAAAGAGUUGGAAGAAAAAAGGCUAUAAGCUAGAUGCUAGAGCCUGGAGCUAUGGACCGAUCUACGAACUUUUCAGAGGAAGUGGAGACGAACAAUUCUAUCGGAGAACCCCCAAGUUUCAGCUACGCAGAGCAAGUUGUUGUUUGGAGCCCCUUCUACUUUAUAAAUUCUGAAGAGGCAAGAAAAAGAAGACUUUCAUCUUUUUUCGAGAGACAGAAGGCAUGCUAAUGAAACUAGGGGUGGGGGAGUUUUGUAGGUGAAGACCACAGAUGAAGCACACACGGGGAAGGAAGAAUUAGAGCUUCGUGACAAACCUAAGAUUUUUGAAUUGUUCUCUUUGUUUUCAUGCUCAUGCAGCAGAUUAUCCUACGUAAACUCACCAUCACCACAAACAAGGAAGAGAUAAGAGAGCUGUUAGUCAGCAAAAUCUGCUGCAACUUGGUCUCCCUUGUUCUAUAAAUGGCUGCUGAUGUCGAGACUCAAAAAUCACUUCAAUUUCAAGAUCAAGAUUGAUUUCAUACACUAAUUCUUGCAUUAAUAUCACUACUGCCAUUGAGACCAUGGCCUUCAAGACAUUUCUCUUUGUUUCUCUCGUGAUUGCUGCAAUAUUGGCAGCCCCAGUUGCUGAAGCUCAGCUUGGGCUUAUUGGCGGUCUUCUGGGUUUGAUCCGCAUCCAAGGGACUCUAUUUUGCACUGCCGAUGGCAAUAUUGGUGCUAAUGGCACAGCAACCCCUGUUUUCCCUAGUAUGCUUGCCCUGAUUCCUCUUCCUUUUCUUUUUUCUUUUCUUUUGAUCGAUAGUAAAGUAUCCUCGGACCAGAUUGUCAUGAUUACAUAGUUACCAUUCAUCACAUACGACAUCGUCGAAUGCAAUUUGACUUUGUUCUUCUUGUUAUCUUGCUUAUAAAGUUGUAAUUACAGUAACGGGUUUUUUCUUGCAGAUGCUCUCGUGCAGUUGCAAUGUGGAGGAAAUGUGGUUUCUACAUCAACCACCAAUGGAUCUGGGAUGUUUUCUAUUUUGUUGGAUCCUCUAAAUUAUAUUCUUUCCUCGGUAUUGAGCGACUGCAACCUGAAGGUCGAUACACCGCUGAUCAGCUGCAACUCCAGUCUCCCUGCUGUGGGUGGCCUCCUAUCACCCUUACAGUUCAUCGGGAACACUGCUCUAGGAGCCCUCCUGAGUGUUGCAAACAUCAUCCCUGCCGGAUUCCGAUUCGUGCCUUUAAAUUAAGGAGACCACUGUAGCUGAAGGCGGCAUUAUUAUUAUUAGUAUGGCCAUUGCUAUGUACUACUUUAUAUGAAUAAGGCCGUUGUAAUAAAGGAAUAAAGGUCAUGAUUGGCCAUGCAUAAUCUACAUGUAAUAUAUUAGCGAGUCUAUAUUGUGAUGGGCCUUACUAAAAAAAUAUAGUAAUUCGAUGCAAAUAAAACUAAAACUUGUUGCUAAAAACAUUUAGCAACAUAAUUAGCAUCACAUGAAGUAUUAUAUGCAGACUUGUUGUUGGUGAUUUUUCAGGAAUGAAUUUGUCCGUUGUUGAUUUAUCAACAAUGAAUUAUGUGUUGCUCACAAAUUAGCAAUGGAUUUUCCGUUGCUAAUAAAUCAGAAGAAUCUGUUGCUGGUUGAUUAGUACUUAAAAGUAUAUUUUUAUCAAGGUUUUAUAUCAUCAUUUUGCACUAGAAAUAUCAAUAACUCUUUAACUAAACCAUGUUUUAUAAUAAUAAUAUAAGAUACCUUUAAUUUAUGGUAAAUGUUCAUCUUAAAUGCAGACCUAUCACAUAAAUGAAAGGAUUGAUUGAUGAGUUUAAGUAUUGAAAUUGAAAGGACAAAGAGAGGGCCAAACUUAGAAAAGAGAUGUUGGUGCCGUCCAAACUGGAACACUGUUCGAUAUUUAGCCCAUAUCUCGAGUUCUAGAAGUCCAAAUGACCUCAAUUUGUUUCCUGGUAGAUAAGACAAUUUCUUAGAACUUUCAUGGGUACAGGUGGUUCUAGUUCUAAUGUUAGCAAUGACGUUUUAUUCAGACAAGAAGAUAAAGAUUUUCACCAAGUCAAGAGUUGGCCACCCACUCAACAAUUAGUAAUCAAAUCAAUAGUUUCAAAUUUUGGCCUAUAAAAGGAGGCAUUUGCCAUGCAUUUAGGUAUCUUGGUGUUCAUAUCAAGAUCAUGCUCUUGCUCUUUUUUUUUUUUUUUGUAUUUUGUAAUGUUUAAGUUUUAUUUUAUGUUAUAUUAAUCUCUUGUUUAUGCUUUUCCUUUCCUUUCCUUUACUUAUAUAAUUUUAUUCUUAUCUUGUUUAUUUAUGUUUCUUUCUUUCAAUAUAUUUAUCUAAAUCUAUUAUGUCAAGGUGAAAAGGUUACACUAAUAGUGUAAGAAUAAGUAUAGUAUAAAUUCAACAUGCACUUUAAUGCUAGAUACUAAUAUGUUUUAUAUUUAUUAUCUUGCUUACUCUUAAUACCUUACUUGUUAAAUGGUUAAUCUAGAUUUGUGUUGAACAACCCUUGGUACAACAAAUGCUUGGCACUUUCAUAGCCCAAUCAUAUGGUAUAACCUACACGUGUGCUAUGAAAGAAUUAGAAUUAAUUGAGAGAUAGUUUUGUGUUUAAUUGUGUUGGAUGCAUAAGAGUAGCAGCCAUCCUUUGUAUUUAUACUUGUAGGGUUGUGUACAAUAUAAUGGUGGGAUGUAUUACAUACUAUAACUAUUACUAUGUAGAAGUGUUUACAUUGAAUUCAAACUCUUUCCUUAAUACACCCCGUCAAUCUGAAGGUGGAGAUUCCACCCGAAGCUUGGAUCGAAAAUAAGCAAACGAGACUGGAUCGAGGAAGAGGCUUGGUAAGGACAUCAGCUAGUUGAUCUUUGGAAGAUAUAAACCGUACCUGAAUUUCUCGCUUAGUAACACGAUCACGGACAAAAUGAUAAUCAACUUCAACAUGUUUAGUACGAGCGUGAAAUACUGGAUUUGCAAUAAGAAGGUGGCCCCUAAAUUAUCACACCAUAACGUGGUCACAGUCGAAGAAGGAAUCUGAAGUUCUGUCAAUAAUGAGCGAAUCCACAAAAUCUCAGCAGUACCAUCAGCUAAGGCUUUGUAUUCCGCUUCAAUGGAGGAUCUCGCAACAGUGCAUUGUUUCCCGGAUUUCCAGAGAUAGGGGUAGAGCCAAGGUACACAAGGUAACCACCUGUGGAUUUUCGAUCAUCAAUACUACCUACCCAAUCAGCAUCUGUGAAACCAUGAAGAGACAGAGGAGAAUCCCUAGUGAUGUGCAGGCCAUAAGUUGCUGUAGCCUGGAGGUAACGCAAGAUGCGUUUGACAGCAAACCAAUGAUCCUCAGUGGGGGCAUGCAUAAAUUGACAGACCUUGUUGACCGCAUAACAGAUAUCAGGUCUAGUGAAGGUAAGAUAUUGUAAUGCCCCAACAAUUUAUCGAUACCGUGUGGGAUCAGAGUAGAGAGUACCUGGUAUGAGUCCUAAUUUGGAGGAGGCAGAUAGAGGAGUAUCAACUGGUUUGCAUGAAGUCAUACCUGCUCGUUUGAUGAUAUCGAGAGCAUACUUAUGUUGGCUUAAUAAGAUACCCAUAGCAGUAGGUUUAACUUCAAUGCUUAAGAAGAAAUGAACAGAACCCAGAUCCCGAAGCUUAAAUUCUGAUUGCAGCAAGGUAAUCAAUCUAUGAAGCAUAGCUGAGUUACUUCCGGUUAAUAAGAUAUCAUCAACAUACACAAGCAGGUAAAUCAUGGCACCAUCAUGAGAGAGGAUAAAUAGAGAAGUAUCACCCUUGGAUGCCUGAAAUCCAAUGGAUAGUAAGAACUCACUCAACCUGUUGUACCAAGCACGAGGGGCUUGUUUCAAACCAUACAGAGAUUUAUGGAGACAACACACAUGAGACGGGAGUGCCGGAUCAACAAACCCAGGCGGUUGCGCCAUGUAUACCUCUUCCUGAAGAAUGCCAUUUAGGAAAGCAUUAUGGACAUCCAACUGAUGAAUGGUCCAUCCAUAUGAAACAACGAUAGUGAGCACAAGGCGAACCGUUGUAGGCUUGAUCACUGGACUGAAUGUCUCCAAAUAAUCAAUCCCUUCUUGCUGAGUGAAGCCGCGGGCAACUAACCGUGCCUUAUAUCGGGCAACUUGACCAUCAACAUUUCUUUUUAUCUUGUACACCCAUCUACUGCCAAUCACAUUCAUAGUUGGAUGAAGAGGCACCAACGUCCAAGUCUGAUUAGAGUGAAGUGCCCGAAGUUCCUCCUGCAUGGCAGUGUCCCAAGUAACAUACCUGUUUGAGUCCUUAAAGGACAAUGGCUCCUGCUGAGGUAAGGUCGUGUCUCGUGAGACAGCCGCAAUGCUAAGAUUAGCAUUUCUUUCUGGCCGUGGGCGAAGCACCAUAGGAUGGGUGCGAGCCCGCUGAGAUGGGGAGGAGACAGCGGCAGGGACAUGCUGAAGAUUGAAUUUAGAUAGAUCAACACAUACGUUAAUUCCAGGAGGGGAAAGCGAGGAAGAACCUGUGGGUGAAGAACUCAAUAUAGGAGAAGACCGUGAUGGAGACCCAGCAGAAGAAGUAUCCAUAACAGGGGAGAAACCAUGGAGCUGGCAGCAACAUCGGAUGAUGCUUGUGAGUGUGACGAAUCUGAACCUGCAAUUGAAGAAUGAUCAUAAUAACAUGCAGAUAAUGGUAAAGUAGCCGAAGGAGGUGUAGGCAGUGAUUUAGAGAGUGAGGAGGGUUGCAUGAGAGGAAGUAAAGUGACGGGUAGAGAGGGAGCAGAGGGCUGUUUGGGUGUUGCUGCAAUCUGUUCAAUUUUAUCAAGAGGAAAAACAGUUUCAUGAAACCGGACAUGACGUGCAAGAUAAAUUCGUUUGGAUGACAAAUCAAGACAACGAUAACCGACAUGUGAGGUACUAUAUCCUAGAAAAACACAAGGUGUGGACCAAAAAUCUAAUUUGUGAGCAUUGUAUGGACGAAGAAAAGGAAAGAAGAGACACCCGAAAGUACGAAGAAAUGCACAAUCAGGAGUCGAUUUUAACAGACAUUCAAACGGUGUCUUAUUAUUAAGGACUGGAGUGGGCAUGCGAUUAAUUAAAUAAACAGAACUUUCAAAAGCAUAACUCCAAUAUUUAAGGGGAGCAUGACACUGACCAAGGAGAGUGAGUCCAGUUUCAACAAUAUGUCUAUGACGGCGUUCAACCAUGCCAUUUUGUUCAUAAGUGUGCGGGCAGAUCACACGAUGAUGAAUACCAAUCAUUUUAAAAUAUGUAUUUAGUUUUUGGUAUUCACCACCCCAAUCAGUUUGAACAAACUUAAUUUUUAAGGAGAAUUGGCGCUCCACAAGCGCCUGAAACUGAUGAAAAAUUGCAAGGAACGUCAUACUUAGCAACCAAGGGAUAAAACCAUAUGAAUUUUGUAUGAGCAUCCACAAAAAUAACAAAAUAGCGAAAACCAUCAGAUGAAAACAUAGGGGAUGGACCCCAAACAUCACUAAAAAUCAAGUCAAGAGGAGCUCGAGUUUGAUGACCCGUAGGUUUUAGAGUCAGACGCGAUGACUUGCCUAGAGGGCACGUAGGACACUGAAAAUUAAACUUAGUGGACAUACAUGACACUUUUUUAUUUUUCACUAGCAAAUGCAAAAUACGUGGACUAGGAUGUCCAAGUCAACGAUGCCAGACAUCAGCUGAAGUAGAUAGACAAGUAGAGGAAAAAGCUUGAGGCAACGAUGUUGCGGACGUCGCGGACAAAACAUAUAGACCAUCUUUACUCUGACCGGAAAGAAGAACUGCCUUUGUCAUGAGAUCCUUAACAUAAAAUAGAGAGGAAUGAAAUUCAAAAAACACGUUAUUCUCAAGAAAAAAUUUUUGAACAGAUAUCAGAGGUUUUUUAAUGGUAGGAACAUGUAAGAUAUUGGAUAACGUAAAAAUGCGGUUUGGUGAGCGAAUUUUGGAGUGAGCAAUAUUUGAGAUAACAAGGCCCUUACCAUCACCAACAUGCAGAUGAUCAUUUCCAAGAUAAGGUUCUGAACUCGUCAUACUUACAAGAUCCGGCGUGACAUGAUGAUUUGCACCUGUAUCAGGAAACCAAGUAACAGGAGUGGUGGAAGGGGCAGUAUUAAAUGCAAGAUUAGCAUUAGCUUGCAUAUGAUGAGUAGCCAACUGAGAACACUGUUGAGCAGUAUGCCCAUAUUCAUAACAUAGCUGACAUUUUAUGUUGCGAGGAUAGCCACCAAAACGAUUUCUUGCUGCCCAAAAUUACCUGUUGGCCGUGAAGAAGAGCCAGAUGAGAACCGGUUCCCAUGUGAGCUGUAUUGUUGUCCUGAAGUAUAAGUGUUUGCUAGUCCAUUGCCACGAUAAAAAUUGAAUGCGAUUGUUAGGUCUCCAACCCCCACGAAAACGCCCCCGUCUGCCAGAUUGAUGCUGCACAAAGAACGCAGCUGGUUGCUGCGUUGGAGUAGGUAAUAGAGGGGCUGUUACAGAUGGCUGGAGGGAGGCUUUGUGAAGGAACUCAUGUGUAAGAAGGCUACUAUGGAGAUCAGUAUAGCUGAUGGGGGCAUCAUUUGUGGAGAAGCCGGUGACAAGAUCUUUAAACUCACUGCGCAAUCCGCGAAAAACAUACAGAUUAAAUUCUGCCAGGGAGAUUGGUCUACCAGCGGCAGCCAAUUCAUCAAACAAAGCCUUAGCCUUCUGGAGGUAAAUGCUGGCAGAAUCAUCAUUCUGUCUUAGGUCCUGGAAUGAGCCGUGGAGCUGCAUAAUUCUGGAAUUUGAGGGAGAGGCCAGAGCUGUUUCUAACGUUGUCCAGAUUGCAUGUGAAGUGUUGCAAUCUACAACCAAGUGCAGAACUUCGACCGAGAGAGAAGAUAGGAGGGCACUCAUGAUGAGGUGAUCUUGCUGCUUCCAUGAUAAAAUAUGCCGGGUUGACAGAGAGUAUAGAUGGCUCAGCCGAUGCCAAAUGUGAAGGAGGACAUGGUGAUGUGCCAUCAACAAAUGAAUAAACACCUUGGCCCAAGAGAAAAGGUUUCAUCUGCAUCCUCCAAUACAAGAAAUUAUGGUUGGAGAGUUUUAAAGAAACUACCUGAUGUGUGUUAGGAAGAGAGAUAAUGGAGGCAGUAGGCGAUGCCCCAUACAUGACUGAUUGCUCUACAGGGGAGAAGGAAGAUUGAAGAGCUGAUACAGCGCCAGCAGAUUGUUGAUUGUCCAUGUUGCUAGGGAGAAGAAGUUUCAGUUUCUACUUCGUGAUAAGUGACAGAGGAAGGAGAUGAGAAGCUGCUGCUUUGUGAAUUAAACUGAGGAAGAACCGGCUGCUAAGAAGAUAGGAUGGCUGCUGGUUGCCAAAUAGCUACGCAGGAGAAUUUCAGCUUUUAAGGGAGAAGGCUGCUGAACAAUAACCGGUGCUCUGAUACCAAAUUAGAAUUAAUUGAGAGAUAGUUUUGUGUUUAAUUGUGUUGGAUGCAUAAGAGUAGCAACCAUCCUUUGUAUUUAUACUUGUAGGGUUGUGUACAAUAUAAUGGUGGGAUGUAUUACAUACUAUAACUAUUACUAUGUAGAAGUGUUUACAUUGAAUUCAAACUCUUUUCUUAAUAGAAAGGAAUUUAAUUUGUUGUUAACAUAAACUAUCACCAUGAAUACCUGAUAAUAUUUACAAGUAUUGGCAUUACUUGAAUAAGAUAAUUAAUAUAAUCAUGUUAAUAAUUUAUAAUCUGAUUGGAACCUCCUUUGUGUGUGGUUUUCAAUUGAGUAAUAAGAGUUUAUACUAUACUUGUUUGAAGUACCAUUAGUGGAUCCUCUAACCUUGACAUUUGUUUUUAUAAUUGUUUAAUCAUCAAAUUAAUCUUACAUCUCAAAGUCCUCUUUAUUAUUACUAUUACUAUUACUACUAUCAUUAUUAUUAUUAUUACUAUUACUAUUAUUAUUGUUGUUGUUGUUGUUAUUUAUAAUUUAUAUAGUUAACCUCUUUGUGGUUCGACCUCGGUCUUGCCGAGUUAUUUAUUACUUCGACACUCCUGCACUUGGGAGAAGACAUGAAUCUUUUGAUCGUGUCACUGGUUUUGUGAAUCAACCAUGGAUUUCCCAUUGAAUUAUUUACAAUCAGCAACGAAAAAUCCGUUGCUGAUUAUAUGAUUUUUAUUAAAUUAAUUUAUAAUUUUUAUCCAAAUGACUUUGAAUUUUUUAAUUAAUUAUUUAUGGAUAUUUUGAAAGUUGUAGAAUAUAUAUAAAAACAUAAAUUAAUAUUUAAAAUUACUUUAUCACCAAUAAUAAAUGGAAUAAAAAUAAAAUUCAUAAUAUAAGUAAAAAUUUAGUUAAAGUUGCACCAAAGCAAAUAAGUACAAAUACAAUAAAAAGAUAUAAUUAUGUGCUUUUUGUGGAGACGAACCAUGAUACUGUGGAUCGAUGUAAGAUGAAUUAUGAUAUGAUGGUCGAGGUAUAGGUCAAUAUAUUGGUGCAGAUGUGGGAUCCAUAUGUGUCAUUAUCUGGGGAGUUGUAUGUGGCGGCAUUGAUGGGGCCAUAGGUGCUGGCAUACCUUGGCUAAUGUUUGAUGUCCCACCAUGAUAUCCAAGAUUGUUCAUAUGAUAUUCUAAUAUUAUUACUAUUAUUAUUAUUAUUAUUAUUAUUAUUAUUAUUAUUAUUAUUAUUAUUAUUAUUACUAGUAUUACUAUUAUUAUUAUUGUUGUUGUUGUUGUUAUUUAUAAUUUAUAUAGUUAACCUCCUUGUGGUUCGACCCCGGUCUUACCGGGUUAUUUAUUACUUCGACACUCCUACACUUGGGAGAAGACAUCAAUCUUUUGGUCGUGUCAAGUUUUUGGCACCGUUGCCGGGGAGGUAAAUUCUUGUAUAAAUUAUAAUAUUUAUUUUAUUUUCUCUUUUCACUUUUCAUUUUAUCUAACUUUUAUUUCUUUUGUUUUCUUUUGUUUCUUUUUCUUCUCUUCUCCUUUCUUCCUUUAUUCUCCUCUUACACGUGCAUGAGAGUUUGGUCACGUAUAUUAAAUGGUAGACUUUGUAGGGUAUCCUCAUAAUUUUUAGAAAUAUGACUGAAGAAGAUAAUCAAUACCUUCAUAAUGAGAAUAAUGAGAAUAACUGUAUGAGAAUACUUGGAGACCAUAUGAAUCCCACAAGAACAAUUGCACCCUCAUGCAUAGUUUUCCCUCCUGAUGCAUUUCAUUUUAAUUUUAAACCAUACAUUAUUCAACUUUUACCUUCUUUUCAUGGCUUAGACCUAGAACAAUUUUUAAUUUUUUUUUCCAUCUCACAGAACAAACUCUUUUAAAAGACAAAUCAUCACUUUCACUCAAAAGCCAGGAGAAAUAUUUUACCAAUGUUGGGAUAGGUAUCGAGACUUGCUUAAUACUUGCCUUCAUCAUGGUUUUGAAACAUGGAGAUUGGUUUCACAUUUUUAUGAAGGGUUAACACCUAGAGAUAGGCAAAUGGUUGAAUUGAUGUGCAAUGGAACUUUUGAAGAUAAAGACCCUAAUGAAGCAAUGAAGUACAUAGACUUGCUAACAAAAAAUGCUCAAAAUUGGGACACCAUAGAUACUUCUGAGACACCAAGUAAAACUCAACCUCAUACAUCUAGAGGUAUACAACCUUAGAGAAGUCAUGACCUCCAAGCCAAGUUUGCAUCUUUAGCUAGAAAAGUUUGAAGCACUUGAAUUGAAAAGGGAGUGAUCAAUUAAAAUCUAUUCAAGACAUUGUGUGUCAAAUCUGUGAAACCAAUGAACACUCAAAAAAUGAUUGUCCAACUUUGCCUUCUUUUAGGGAAUGCCUUCAUGAAAAGCCAUGCUUUAAACAGUUUUCAAAGGCCCAAUCAUAACCCAUACUCACAAACGUAUAACCCUGGUUGGAUAAAUCACCUAAAUUUUAGUUGGAAGAGUGAUAGCAACAAUACACAAACUUAACAACCACCGUUUCAAGCACACCAUGAUUUCUAAAAUUCUUAUGGAUAUGCACCUCCUUAUGCUCCACCUCCUAGAAGAAAUCUUGAGGAAACAUUGCAUGCAUUCAUCAAAAAACAAGAGGCAAUCAACACUCAACUUGCUCAAGGCAUGCCAGAUUUUAAAGAUACUCUUGCAAAGUUAACAUCUACUCUCAGUUUCCAAGAAAAUGGUAAGUUUUCAUCUCAACAACAUCAAAAUCCAAAAGGACAAUACAAUGCAAAUGCAAGUAGUUCCGGAAGCCAACACAUGGAUCAAGUCAAAUCAGUCACCACUCUUCGUAGUGGUAAGGUUAUUGAAAAACCCGCUCUUGAACCUUGUGAGAAAGAUGAUGAGUCUAUCUUUGAGGGUAAGGAAGGGGUUGAAUAUGAACAUUGCAAAGAAAAUGUUGAUUCCCUGCCAGCACUCUCAUUUCCUCAUGCCAUGACCAAACAAAGAAAAGUCAACCACAACUCUGAAAUCUUUGACACUUUCAAACAUGUAAGGAUCAAUAUACCUUUGUUGGAUGCUAUUAAACAGGUUCCUUCCUAUGCUAAAUUUUUGAAAGAUCUGUGCACUGUGAAGAGAAAACUGAAUGUGACAAAGAAAACAUUUUUAGCCGAACAAGUGCCAUUCUUCAAACCAAUAAUGCUUUGAAAUAUAAAAACCCUGGUUGUGCUACAAUUUCUUGUUUUUAUUAAAGAACAUAAAAUUAAAAGAGCCUUAUUUGAUCUUGGAGCUAGUGUGAAUUUACUUUCAUAUUCAGUUUUUUUAAAGUCUUAAUCUAGGUGAGUUAAAACCAACUUCUGUAACUCUUUUACUUGCUGAUAGAUCUGUAAAAGUGCCUAGAGGAAUAGUUGAGGAUGUGUUAGUACAAGUUGAUAAAUUCAUUUACCCUGUAGAUUUUUUUGUCUUGGAUACACAACCUAUUGAAGCAUGUAAUUCAAUUCCUCUAAUUUUAGGGCGUCCAUUUCUUACCACUUCUAAUGCAUUAAUUAAUUGUAGGAAUGGACUGAUGAAGCUAUCAUUUGGAAACAUGACAUUGGAGAUGAAUAUUUUCAACAUUUACAAGCAACCUGGAGAUGAUAAUGAUUUACAGGAAGUGGAUUUUAUUGAAAAAUUAGUUCAUGAUCAAUUUCAAACCACUUCUAGUGAAACUGAGAUUGAUGAAUCUGAUGAUUUGCAAAUGGUCUCCUUUCAGGAACAAUCAAAGGCAUGUAAAUAGAGACCAUAAAUUGAAGAAUUGUGACACGACCAAAAGAUUGAUGUCUUCUCCCAAGUGCAGGAGUGUCAAAGUAAUAAAUAACCCGGCAAGACCAAGGUCGAACCACAGGGAGAUUAACUAUAAAUUAUAAAUAACAACACAACAACAACAACAACAACAACAAUUAGUAGUAGUAGUAAUAAUAGUAAUACUAAUACAAAUAAUAACAAUAAUAGUAAUAAUAGUAGUAGUAGUACUAAUAAUAUUAAUAAUAGUAAUAGUAAUAAUAAAGAGGACCUUUGAGAUGCAAGAUUAAUGUGAGGAUUAAACAAUAAUAAAAACAAAUGUCAAGGUUAGAAGAUCCAUUAAUGGUAUUUCAAACAAGUAUAAUAUAAACUCUUAUUAUUCAACUGGAAACCACACACAAAGGAGGUUCCAAUCGAAUGAUUUAUCAUUAAUAUCUCAUUAUAAAUUAUUAACAUGAUCAUAUUAAUUAUCUUAUUUAAAUAACACCAAACUUUUAAAUAUUGUCAGGAAUUCAUGAUGCUAACUAAUGUUAACAACAAAUCAAGUUCCUUUCAUAGCACAGGUGUAGGUAAACCAUACGGUUGGGCUAUGAGAGUGCUAAGCAUUUGUUGUACCAAGUGUUAUACAACACAAAUAUAGAUUAACCAUUUAACAAGCAAGAUAUUAAGAAUUAGUAAGAUAAAAAGAUAAGACAUGUUAAUAUUAAACAUUAAGGUCCAUGUUGAGUUUACAUUAUACUUAUUCUUACACCAUUAGUGUAACAUUUUCACGUUGACAUAAUAAACUUAGCUAAACAUAAUGAAGAAGAGAAACAUAAAUAAACAAAAAAGAACAUAAAUAAGAUACAAGUUAACUAAGUAAAGGAAAGGAAAUGAAAAGCAUAGACAAGAUAUUAAUGAAAGCAAAACUUAAGAAUUACAAAAAAAAUGUAAAGAGAGAGAGCAAGAACAAGUUCUUGAUCUGAACACUAAGAUGCCUAAAUGCAUGCCAAAUGCCUCCUUUUAUAGGCCAAAAUUUAGAACUAUUGAUUUGAUGACUAAUUGUUGAAUGGGUGGCCAACUCUUAACUUGGUGAAAAUCCUUAUCUUCUUGUCCGAAUAAAACAUCAUUGCUAACAUCAGAACUAGAACCACCUGUACGUAUGAAAGUUCUAGGAAAUUGUCUUAUCUUUUUAGGAAAAAAAAUUGAGGUCAUUUGGGCUUCUAGAACUUGAGAUAUGGGUUGAACACUAAACAAUAUCUGGGCUGCAGGACAUAUUUGGACUUGAAAACGACCUUUUUAAAUCUUGGACUGCACAUGAAAGUUGUAGGCCUAUGUCUUAGCAAAUCUAUCAAAAAAUUGAGAUCAUUUGGACAUUUAGAACUCGAGAUAUGACCCAAUUACCGAACAGUGUUCCAGUUUAGACUGCACCAAUAUUUUUUUUUCUAAGUUUGGCACUCUCUUUGUCCUUUCAAUUUCAAUACUUAAACUCAUCAAUCUAUCCUUUCAUUUAUGUGAUAGGCCUGCAUUUAAGAUGAACCUUUUCCAUAAAUUAAAGGUAUCUUAUUUUAUUAUUAUAAAACAUGCUUUAGUUAAGGAGUUAUUAAUACUUCAAGUGCAAAAUGAUGAUAUAAAACCUUGAUAAAAAUACACUUUUAAGUACUAAUCACACCCCCCAACCACCUUAUUACUAGUCCCUAGUAAUCAAAGCGUUAAAAUAGAAAAACAAUUUGCAAGUUCCAGAAAGCAAGGCAUUCAUCAUUAAACUUCCAUUAAUCUAUCCAAAUAAACAAACUCUCAUUAAAUUUGUAAUCCUGCUUCAUAUAUCUUAAACAAGAUAUUAAUAAACCUUGUUUUUAUGUGCUCAAUGAAAACAUAGAUGAUGAGACUUUUGUUGGAAGAAAACAAUAUUAUGUUCUAAUGUUUAAGAUUAACUUCCUGGGGUUGGGUAUUAUUAUAUAUAUAUAUUUUUUUUUUCUUUUUUUAUUAUUUAUUUAUAUACAUAUACAACUUAAAACACAAUGCAUCUUUAACAAAUGUAACGAGUUUUCGGCUAAUGACUCCCAAACCAAUUGGUCUUAGGGCAUUAGGUGUUGAGACACCCCUAUGAGCUUAGUAACUCGGGUUGCAGAUACUGAUAUGUAGAUAAUGCAAUGUUUUAUUUCCUUAAGCUUUUCUCCUUAACCCAUGUAACAAGCUUUAGGCCAAUAGCUCCUAAGUCUGUUGACUUUAGGGUAUUAGGUGUUAAAACACCCAUUCGAGCUUAAUUGCUUAGGUUAGGGAGGCUACGAAACCAAACUUAUCUAUGUUUUUAUUAUCAUCAAUAUUAUCAUUUUUUUUUCAAAUUAUACACUAUCCCUUUCCCUUAGUUGUUACCUUUAACAAAAGAACAUAAAUAAUGUAAUAAUCCAAUGUGCAACCCACAAUCAUAUGAUAAAGUGCGUGUGUGAAAAUGAAGGUUUAAGAAUACUUGUUAAAUGAGUAUAUGAGCAGGAUCGAGUGACAACAAUGUGAGAGUUUGUAAACCUGAAUAUUUCAAGAAGUAUUCUAAUAGACCUUGGUGAUGAUACUUACUAAGAUGCGUCUCAAGAGUCAAUAAAAUUUCCUCCUUACUCUGCCAUCCUAAUAACAAUUUUGUCAAAUAGUUUUAAUAAUAGUAAAAAGAGUUAGUAAGUUAGUUUUUUUUUAUGUCGACUACUACCCUCUCCCCCAACCAAAACGAGACAUUAUCCUCAAUGUCCUAAGGUAGAAAUCACCUGAAACACAAACAAUGACAAACCUGAAACACACUUAAACAAAUAUAAGAAGUAACAAAACAAAAUAAUAUGCUAUUAAUAAAACCAAAAAACACAAGGUUUCAAAAAUGAAGGCUCAAAUCUAAUCUAAGCUUUUUACGGCUUUCCUUAGUUGACCAAUUUAGGCGAAUCAUGCAGGGAUCAAUGACAGGGAUGAAAGAUUGUAGUUGGUCAAUCAAUUGUUCAGCAGUAGCAGCAGAGAUUAUGAUUGCUCGUGCCGAAGAUAUUAGAAAUUCAUGUUCCACAGCUUGAUCAAGAAAAGACAACAAUUUAUCAUAGAAACCAUUAACAUUUAACAAACCUAUAGGUUUAUGGUGAAUGUGCAGUUGGGCCCGAGAGGAAAUAUGAAAGAUCUCUUCCAAUGUGCCCAGACCACCUGGUAAGGCAAUGAAGGCAUCAACAUGGUUAAACAUGACAUUUAGUCGAUCAGACAUUGUGGGGACCUGUAGUUCCUCUCCAAUAUUUUUUCCAAUGAUGUCCCUAUUUGUUAAAGCUUUGGGGACAUCCCCCAAAACUUGACUGCCUCCUAAAAAUGCAGCCAUUGACACACCUCCCAUUAACCCAAGGUUACCUCCCCCAUACAUUAAAUGAAUCUUUCUCUCAGCUAGUACCCGACCAAGAUGAUUUGCUGAUUCUAAAAACUCUUUUUCUUUCCCAGGACUGGAUCCACCGAAAACACAAAUAUUUCUUAUGUGAUGACUUGAGGAACCUGCCAUUUCUACAUGCUUUUAUAUUUGAUGAAUGUAUGGGUUGAGUAGAAAUGAAGGGAAGGAAGAGAAUAAUUUAUAGAUGAGAAAUUGAAAAUGCAAUCAUACCACCUAUAUGUAGGCCAACUGUAGUCUCACACACACGCUCUCUGUUUAUUAAUUAUUUAUUUUGAAAAAAAGCAUGUGUAUGUACAAGUAGUUGUGAUUGUGCCUCACAUCUUCUCUUGGUUUUACAUCCAAGAACGACUUAAACGCUCUCUAUGGGUCGGGGAUAGGUUUCCCAUCCAGUUUUCUUAAAAACUGGCAAAUAAGGUCUUUUUUAGUUAGAUUCCCAAGACUAAGUCGGGCAUGUUCUUUAUGGAAUUGUGGCCAUAAAUCAUGAAUUUCACGAUGUACAUCUCCACUAGGAUGCGUCUCAAGGGUCAACAGAAGAUUAUUUAAAGACCCUUUACUGAGGCCAUCCUUAAUGAAUUGUAUUUUAUCUUCAUGGUUUACAUAUACCAUUCCUAAAAAAUGACAUGUCGCAUUACAAGUCCAUCUGACACAUCUAUGACAGACUUUCAGUAAUUUUGCAUGACGUUUCUUUGCAAAAGUGCUUUUACCUAUUCCAGGCAUGUGUGAAAUGAAAGAAUUGGAGGACUCACCUACUAAUCGGACCUUUGCUUCAAUUAGCCAGCGAAUAUCUUCAGGAAUUCCAUGAUUCAUUAACAACCUCAAUCUUGCACACCUAGUACGGUAAAUUUUUGUAAUCUCAUUUGAAGGCAAAGUGGAAAAAUACCUUUUCAAUUUUUCGAGAGUGGUGUCCAUUUUUAAAGAAUUGGGGAAAAGAUUCAAAGAAGGGAGAAAGAGCAAAGAAUUGCAAAAAUAUAGACAGAUAUUAGCUAUUAUUGAAAACUAAAAGAACCAACUUAAGUCACGGAGUACCGUUAUCCACCAUUUGACCGGGGUGAGAGAGAGACUAGCAAAACAAAAGUUACACCAAAACAAAACACAAAACAAUGUGAGAAAAAGAAUCAAUCUUUAUAUAUAGGAUCACUCAAUUCAAUAGUCAUUUUCAACCGAAAAAUUAUCGAAAUAAACUUUGAAACGAUGCCCAUUUACCUUGAAAACAUUGCCAUUCUUUGGAUUCUUGAUAUCACAGGCCCCAUAUGGAUAUACAUGUUUCAUAAUAAAAGGAUCGCUCCAUCUUGAUCUUAGUUUUCCAGGAAAUAAAUGGAGUUGAGAAUUAUAAAGCAAGACUUUUUGACCAACAUUGAAUGUUUUUCUAAGUAUUUUCUUGUCAUGAAACUCUUUGAUUCUUGCUUUAUGAAUUCUUGAAUUGUCAUAUGCAUAAUUUCUUAUUUUCUCAAGCUCAUUUAUUUACAAUUUUCGUAGCAUCAUCAAGGUUGGAAUUGAAAGCUUUAACAGCCCAAUAAGCUUUAUGUUCAAUUUUCACAGGCAAGUGCAAGGUUUUCCAUUUACUAAUCUAUAAGGUGCCAUACCUAAUGAUGUUUUUAUAAGCAGUUCGAUAAGUUCAAAGUGCAUCAUUAAGUCUUAAAGGCCAGUCUUUCCUAUUAGGGUUCACUGUUUUCUCCAAGAUUUGUUUGAUCUCCCUAUUAGCAAGCUCUACUUAUCCACUUGUAUGAGGGUGAUAAGGGGUGGCAACUUUGUGUGUGAUUCCAUAUUUUUUCAUUAAAGAAUCAAAUGGCUUGUUGCAUAAAUGUGUUCCACCAUCACUUAUCAUGGCUCGAGGGAUUCCAAAUCAACUCAAAAUAUUGUAUUUCAAAAACUUUAUCACUGUUUUGUGAUCAUUGUAUUGGCUUGGAAUUGCCUCUAUCUAUUUUGAAACAUAAUCUACUACGACUAAUAUGUACACGAAACCAAAUGAUGGAGGAAAUGGACCCAUGAAAUCUAUACGCCAACAAUCAAAGAUCUCAAUGACAAUAAUAGGAUUUAAAGGCAUGAUGUGACGUUUUGAAAUAGAUCCCAACUUUUAACAAUUUUCAUAAGUGUUGCAGAAUGCAUGUGAGUCCUUGAACAUGGUGGGCCAGUAAAAUCCACUUUGUAAGAUUUUUGCAGUUGUUUUUUUGACAAGAAAUGACACCCACAUGCCUCAGAAUGACCAAAUUUAAUGACGCUACUUCCCUCAUUGAUGAUUAUGUUUUUAUUAUAUAUGGGUCCCUGCAUUCUUGAUUAUGUUUAAAAACAUCCCCGUCCCUUUUUACCUCACUUUUUCUAGUUUUGAUCAAGGUUGUCAAUUCCGGUCUGUUUUGUUUGGAAUGGUCGAAACAUUUGAUACUUAUUAAAAAACAUAACAAAACGAAAAAAGUUUCAUCUUAUUUUAAAUCUCGGUCCAUUCCGGAGUUUUUGACUAAAUUUUGACUGGAAUGUUCCGGUUUCAUUCCACAUAUUUCAUUCUGGUCUUGAAAAGCCAUUGAAUCAAAUUGAAUCUGGUUCAAUUUAAUUAAUUAAACCACCCAAAUAUAAAAAGCUUUUUUUAAUUACUAUUUUCAAUUACAAUGAUACUAAUAAUAAUAUUGAAAAUUAUUAUUACUAUUUUCAUUAACAAUGAUAUUAAAUUUUUAAAAUUAGAUUUAUCACUAACAAUGAUACUAAUUUAUUAUUUAUGGAUAUUUUGAAAGUUGUAGAAUAUAUAUAAGAAACAUAAAUUAAUAUUUAAAAUUACUUUAUCACCAAUAAUAAAUGGAAUAAAAAUAAAAUUCAUAAUAUAAGUAAAAAUUUAGUUAAACUUACACUAAUGCAAAUAAGUCAAAAUACAAUAAAAAGAUACAAUUAUGGUGCUUGUUGUGGAGAUGAACCAUGAUAUUGUGGAUCAACAUAAGAUGAAUUAUGACAUGAUGGUCGAGGUGUAGGUCAAUAUAUUGGUGGAGAUGUGGGAUCCAUAGGUGUCAUUUUAUGGGGAGCCAUAUGUGGCUCCAUUGAUGGGGCCAUAAGUGCUGGCAUACCUUGGCCAAUGUUUGAUGUCCCACCAUGAUAUCCAAGAUUGUUCAUAAGAUAUUCUUUCAUAGAAUCCAUCUGUCGUUUCAUUUCAAAAAUAAAAUCAUCUCUUUUCUUUAUCCCGCUUCUUUUUUCUUUAUCUCCUUUUGCAAUGCUCGAUAAGAUGAAUUAGGAUAUUGUGACUUCACCGAGUAGGAAUGUGAUGAAGAACUUGUAAUCACUAUAGAUUUUGGCAUACGAGGUGCACUAUAUACCCUACCCUUUGUAACUCCUCCUGAAGCCACCACCAAGCUGCUCCAUCAAAUGAAGAAUGAUUUUUCCUAUUAGUUCCGUACUUUGAAAUCAUCUCCUUCUUAUCAUUUUCCUUAAAAAUAAAAUACAUACAAUAAUAAAUUCAUUUGAAUGUUAAAUAGUAUUUAAGUUAUAUAAAUAAAUAAAUAAAAAUACAUACAAUCACUUUCUUAGACUUGCUAUUUACAAAGAUUCUAAACUGCUUAGUACUUUGAUGCAAAGCUGAAACGACAUCAUCUCAUGAAGGUUUUUUUUUCUACCAACUUGCUUUUGCUAGGAAUUAUGAAACAUGUCCGUCAUGAACUCUCAUAAGUCUCUCAUCAUUUUGACAAUAUCUUGCAUUGGACUGUGUAAUUCAACACCUUCGAUGCGGACCUGGAUUUCGGGUAGAAAUCAUGAUGCUAUUUUAUGACAUGGAAAACAAAAUUAGGGUAUUUUUUAAACCUUUAUGAACUCUCACAACUCUCACAAGGCUCUCACCAUUUUGACGAUCUUUUGUAAUGGACUGUGUAAUUCAACACCUUCAAUUCAGACCUGGAUUUUAGCUAGAAAUCUUGACGCUAUUUUAUGAUAUGGAAAACAAAAUUAUGUUUUAAUUUAUAUAUAUGGGUCCCUGCAUUCUUCAUUAUGUUUAAAAACUUCCCCAUCCCUUUUUACCUCACUUUUUUCUAGUUUUGAUCAAGGUUGUCAAUUUCGUUCUGUUUUGUUUGGAAUCACCGAAACAUUUCAUAUCUAUUAAAAAACAUAACAAAACAGAACAAGUUUCAUCUUAUUUUAAAUCUCGGUCCAUUCCGGAGUUUUUGACUAAAUUUUGACUGGAAUGUUCCGGUUUCAUUCCACAUAUUUCAUUCCGGUCUUGAAAAGCCAUUGAAUCAAAUUGAAUCUGGUUCAAUUUAAUUAAUUAAACCACCCAAGUAUAAAAAGCUUUUUUUAAUUACUAUUUUCAAUAACAAUGAUAUUAAUAAUAAUAUUGAAAAUUAUUAUUAUUUUCAUUAACAAUGAUAAAAUUUUUAAAUUAGAUUUAUCACUAAUAUAUAUGGUUUAUUUCAUGUUUUUUUUCAUGUUUAUACUUUGGAGAAAUUUGAGCAAAACAAGGGAUGCUUUAGAUCCCAUUAGCCUCGAUAACGUUGAACUAGCUUUAUAUGUAAAAUAUUGGUAUUAAAACAUUUUACUUUCAUAAUAUUUUGAUAUUUUGUUUAAGUUAGUUGAGAAUAAUGGAAUGUGUUGGGUUGUGCCUUAGCCAACCUUCCUAUUUAUAUAGAGGCAGCAAAACACUGCAGUAACUAUAAUGAUUACAACAUCCUAUAUUACUUUCCUAUCCUGAUAGAUACAUGAGUAACUGUAAUGAUAACAACAUCCUAUAUUAAUUUCCUAUUCUACAAUAUGCCCCCUCAAGUUGAGGGUGGGGGAUCAACUCGAAGCUUGAACCAAAAGAAGUAAAGGAUGCAACAUGAAGCGGUUUAGUGAAGACAUCGACAAGUUGAUCCCGAGAGGGAACAAAAUGAAUCUGAAUUUCUUUCUUGGCAACACGGUCACGAACAAAGUGAUAAUCCACUUCAACAUGCUUUGUACGAGCAUGGAAGAUAGGAUUUGCUGAGAGAUAGGUAGCACCAAGAUUAUCACACCAAAUGGUAGGAGCAGAGACUGAGGGAACUUGCAAAUCUGUUACACAGUUUGGCCAAAUGACUUCAAGCGGUACCAUCAGCAAGGGCUUUAUACUCAGCCUCAGUAGAGGAGUGAGCAAUAGUGCGUUGCUUGCCGGAUUUCCAAGAAAUCGGCGUCUGACCAAAAAAGACAAGAUAGCCGCCUGUAAACUUGCGAUCAUCAAUAACCAGCCCAAUCUGUAUCUAUAAAGCCAUGUAGAGCAAAAGAGGAGCCUUGAGUGAUAUGGAAACCAUAAGAUGUCGUACCUUUAAGAAAUAGCGUAAAAUACGUUUGACAGCGGCCCAAUGAGAAAUGUAAGAGCAUGCAUAAACUGACAGACUCUGUUAACAACAAAGCAUAUAUCUGGACGGGUGAAGGUAAGAUAUUGAACGGGUAUGCGUUUUUGAUAUGCGAACUUGAAUGCUAUAUUUACAGCUUUUAGUAUAUAAUUAGCUUGCUAUACAUGUUAUUUUCUCAAACUUUAAUGUUAUUUAUUUAUUUCAGGUCAGGUUCGGGUAGACCAAUAUCCAUACUCUACUCGGACUUGACUUUUUCCAUUUGAUUUAUUCGAAACUCGAUUGAGUCUAAAAGUUUUCUAUUUGAAUCGAUUGAGUUAGUAUGCAUAGGUAAAACUGUCAUGGUAAGUAUAAUCCAAAUACCAUAUUGUUUGGCAAUGAUAUGCUUUGCUAUUAGUUCUAACAUGACAACUAACAAACUAUCAACCCAACAAAAAGAUAUAAAAUCAUGUUAAAGAAUUAUCUCAACCACAAAACUUAAGUUGUUAUGUAAAGUUUUAAGAUAUAAUUAUAUUAUUAUCUAACCACCUCUCGAAUGAAAGCAUUUUGGGCUUGAAACUUGCAAACCCAUAUUACCUUGUGCUUUUUUUAUUCAAAUAUAGAGAUGGUGAGAUUCGAACUCGUAAUUACUUAAUUAUCAAGGCUAUAAUACCAUAUCAAAGAACCAUCUCAACACAAUAACUUAAACUAUUAUAUAAGAUUUCAAAUAAUUUAUAUUACUCUUUAAUCAUUUCGAUAUUAAUUUACAUGUAAGGGCAUAUUGUAUUCUGAAUGCCCCACGAAGACAGAAAGAGUUGGAAGAAAAAGGCUAGAAGCUAGAUGCUAGAGCAUGGAGCUAUGGACCAAUCUAUGAACUUUUCAGCCAGCAGAGCAAGUUGUUGUUUGGAGCCCUUCUACUUUAUAAAUUCUGAAGAGGCAAGAAAAAGAAGACUUUCAUCUUUUUUCGAGAGACAGAAGGCAUGCUAAUGAAACUAGGGGUGGGGGAGUUUUGUAGGUGAAGACCACGAGAUGAAGCACACACGGGGAAGGAAGAAUUAGAGCUUCGUGACAAACCUAAGAUUUUUGAAUUGUUCUCUUUUUUUUCAUGCUCAUGCAGCAGAUUAUCCUACGUAGACCACCAUUACCACAACAAGGAAGAGAUAGAGAGCUGCUAGUCAGCAAAUCUGCUGCAACUUGGUCCCUUGUUCUAUAAAUGGCUGCUGAUGUCGAGACUCAAAAAUCACUUCAAUUUCAAGAUCAAGAUUGAGUUUAUACACUAAUUCUUGCAUUAAUAUCAGUACUACUGCCAUUGAGACCAUGGCCUUCAAGACAUUUUCUUUGUUUCUCUCGUGAUUGCUGCAAUAUUGCAGCCCCAGUUGCUGAAGCUCAUUGGGCUUAUUGGCGGUCUUCUGGGUUUGAUCCGAUCCAAGGGACUAUUUUGCACUGCCGAUGGCAAUAUUGGUGCUAAUGGCACAGCAACCCCUGUUUUCCCUAGUAUGCUUGCCCUGAUUCCUCUCUUUUCUUUUUUCUUUUCUUUUGAUCGAUAGUAAAGUAUCCUCGGACCAGAUUGUCAUGUUAUAGUUACCAUUCAUCACAUACGACAUCGUCGAAUGCAAUUUGACUUUGUUCUUCUUCUUAUCUUGCUUAUAAAGUUGUAAUUACAGUAACGGGUUUUUUCUUGCAGAUGCUCUCGUGCAGUUGCAAUGUGGAGGAAAUGUGGUUUCUACGUCAACACCAAUGGAUCUGGGAUGUUUUCUAUUUUGUUGGUCCUCUAAAUUAUAUUCUUUCCUCGGUAUUGAGCGACUGCAACCUGAAGGUCGUCACCGCUGAUCAGCUGCACUCAGUCUCCCUUGCUGUGGGUGGCUCCUAUCACCCUUACAGUUCAUCGGGAACACUGCUCUAGGAGCCUCUGAGUGUUGCAAACAUCAUCCCUGCCGGAUUCCGAUUCGUGCCUUAAAUUAGGAGACCACUGUAGUGAAGGCGGCAUUUAUUAUAUUUAGUAUGGCCAUUGCUAUGUACUCUUUUAUGAAUAAGGCUGUUGUAUUUACGUGUGUACUGUUUAUUGUUUUUCUUGCUUCCCAGGAUAAGGUCAUGAUUGGCUAUGCCAUUAUAUUAUAUAAUGUAUAUAUUUAGCGGUCUAAAUUACGAGGGGCCUACUAAAAAACGUAGCAAGUAUUUUGAUGCAAAUAAAACUAAUUUGUUGCUAAAACAUUUAGCAACAAAAUUAGCAACAUCGAUGUAUUAUAUGCAGAUUUGUUUUGUUGAUUUUAUAAUAGGGAUUUGUCGGUUGUUGAUUUAUCAGUAAUGAAUAAUCUAUUGCUCACAAUUGCAUGGAUUUUCCGUGCUAACAAUUAGAAUGUCUGUUGCUGGUUUUUUGAAUUAUUUACAAUCAACAACGAAAAAUCCGUAGCUAAUUAUAUGAUUUUAUUUAAUUAAUAUAUAUUAUAUAUUUUAUCCAAAUGACUUUUUUUUAAUUUAUUAUUUAUGGAUAUUUGAAAGUUGUAGAAUAUAUAUAAGAACAUAAAUUAUAUUAUUAAUUACUUUAUCACCAAUAAUAAAUGGAAUAAAAAUAAAAUUCAUAAUUAAGUAAAAAUUUAGUUAACUUACACUAAUGCAAAUAAGUCAAAAUACAAUAAAAGAUACAAUUAUGGUGCUUGUUGUGGAGAUGCAUGAUUGUGGAUCAACAUAAGAUGAAUUAUGACAUGAUGGUCGGGUGUAAGGUCAAUUAUUGGUGGAGAUGUGGGAUCCAUAGAUGUCAUUUUAUGGGGAGCCAUAAGUGCUGGCAUACCUUGGUCAAUGUUUGAUGUCCCACCAUGAUAUCCAAGAUUGUUCAUAAGAUAUUCUUUCAUAGAAUCCAUCUGUCGUUUCAUUUCAAAAAUAAAAUCAUCUCUUUUCUUUAUCCCGCUUCUUUUUUCUUUAUCUCCUUUUGCAAUGCUCGAUAAGAUGAAUUAGGAUAUUGUGACUUCACCGAGUAGGAAUGUGAUGAAGAACUUGUAAUCACUAUAGAUUUUGGCAUACGAGGUGCACUAUAUACCCUACCCUUUGUAACUCCUCCUGAAGCCACACACCAAGCUGCUCCAUCAAAUGAAGAAUGAUUUUUCCUAUUAGUUCCGUACUUUGAAAUCAUCUCCUUCUUAUCAUUUUCCUUAAAAAUAAAAUACAUACAAUAAUAAAUUCAUUUGAAUGUUAAAUAGUAUUUAAGUUAUAUAAAUAAAUAAAUAAAAAUACAUACAAUCACUUUCUUAGACUUGCUAUUUACAAAGAUUCUAAACUGCUUAGUACUUUGAUGCAAAGCUGAAACGACAUCAUCUCAUGAAGGUUUUUUUUCUACCAACUUGCUUUUGCUAGGAAUUAUGAAAGAACAUGUCCGUCAUGAACUCUCAUAAGUCUCUCAUCAUUUUGACAAUAUCUUGCAUUGGACUGUGUAAUUCAACACCUUCGAUGCGGACUUGGAUUUCGAGUAGAAAUCAUGAUGCUAUUUUAUGACAUGGAAAACAAAAUUAGGGUAUUUUUUUAAACCUUUAUGAACUCUCACAACUCUCACAAGGCUCUCACCAUUUUGACGAUCUUUUGUAAUGGACUGUGUAAUUCAACACCUUCAAUUCAGACCUGGAUUUUAGCUAGAAAUCUUGACGCUAUUUUAUGAUAUGGAAAACAAAAUUAUGUUUUAAUUAUAUAUAUAUGAGUCCCUGCAUUCUUCAUUAUGUUUAAAAACUUCCCCAUCCCUUUUUACCUCACUUUUUUCUAGUUUUGAUCAAGGUUGUCAAUUUCGUUCUGUUUUGUUUGGAAUCACCGAAACAUUUCAUAUCUAUUAAAAAACAUAACAAAACAGAACAAGUUUCAUCUUAUUUUAAAUCUCGGUCCAUUCCGGAGUUUUUGACUAAAUUUUGACUGGAAUGUUCCGGUUUCAUUCCACAUAUUUCAUUCCGGUCUUGAAAAGCCAUUGAAUCAAAUUGAAUCUGGUUCAAUUUAAUUAAUUAAACCACCCAAGUAUAAAAAGCUUUUUUUAAUUACUAUUUUCAAUAACAAUGAUAUUAAUAAUAAUAUUGAAAAUUAUUAUUACUAUUUUCAUUAACAAUGAUAAUAAAUUUUUAAAAUUAGAUUUAUCACUAAUAUAUAUGGUUUAUUUUCAUGUUUUUUUUUCAUGUUUAUACUUUGGAGAAAUUUGAGCAAAACAAGGGAUGCUUUAGAUCCCAUUAGCCUCGAUAACGUUGAACUAGCUUUAUAUGUAAAAUAUUGGUAUUAAAACAUUUUACUUUCAUAAUAUUUUGAUAUUUUGUUUAAGUUAGUUGAGAAUAAUGGAAUGUGUUGGGUUGUGCCUUAGCCAACCUUCCUAUUUAUAUAGAGGCAGCAAAACACUGCAGUAACUAUAAUGAUUACAACAUCCUAUAUUACUUUCCUAUCCUGAUAGAUACAUGAGUAACUGUAAUGAUAACAACAUCCUAUAUUAAUUUCCUAUUCUACAAUAUGCCCCCUCAAGUUGAGGGUGGGGGAUCAACUCGAAGCUUGAACCGAAAAGAAGUAAAGGAUGCAACAUGAAGCGGUUUAGUGAAGACAUCGACAAGUUGAUCCCGAGAGGGAACAAAAUGAAUCUGAAUUUUUUUUUGGCAACACGGUCACGAACAAAGUGAUAAUCCACUUCAACAUGCUUUGUACGAGCAUGGAAGAUAGGAUUUGCUGAGAGAUAGGUAGCACCAAGAUUAUCACACCAAAUGGUAGGAGCAGAGACUAAGGGAACUUGCAAAUCUGUUAACAAGUAUUGAAGCCAAAUGACUUCAGCGGUACCAUCAGCAAGGGCUUUAUACUCAGCCUCAGUAGAGGAGUGAGCAAUAGUGCGUUGCUUGCCGGAUUUCCAAGAAAUCGGCGUCUGACCAAAAAAGACAAGAUAGCCACCCGUAAACUUGCGAUCAUCAAUACUACCAGCCCAAUCUGUAUCUAUAAAGCCAUGUAGAGCAAAAGAGGAGCCUUGAGUGAUAUGGAAACCAUAAGAUGUCGUACCUUUAAGAUAGCGUAAAAUACGUUUGACAGCGGCCCAAUGAGAAUAUGUAAGAGCAUGCAUAAACUGACAGACUCUGUUAACAACAAAGCAUAUAUCUGGACGGGUGAAGGUAAGAUAUUGAACGGGUAUGCGUUUUUGAUAUGCGAACUUGAAUGCUAUAUUUUACAGCUAUUUAGUAUAUAAUUAGCUUGCUAUACAUGUAUUUUUCUCAAACUUUAAUGUUAUUUAUUUAUUUCAGGUCAGGUUCGGGUAGACCAAUAUCCAUACUCUACUCGGACUUGACUUUUUCCAUUUGAAUUUUAUUCGAAACUCGAUUGAGUCUAAAUUUUUUCUAUUUGAAUCAAUUUGAGUUAGUAUGCAUAGGUAAAACUGUCAUGGUAAGUAUAAUCCAAAUACCAUAUUGUUUGGCAAUGAUAUGCUUUGCUAUUAGUUCUAACAUGACAACUAACAAAACUAUCACACCCAACAAAAAAAGAUAUAAAAUCAUGUUAAAGAAUUAUCUCAACCCAAUAACUUAAGUUGUUAUGUAAAGUUUUAAGAUAUAAUUUAUAUUAUUAUCUAACACACCCUCUCAAAUGAAAGCAUUUUGGGCUUGAAACUUGCACAAACCCAUAUUACCUUGUGCUUAAUUUUUAUCAAAUAAAUAGAGAUGGUGAGAUUCGAACUCGUAAUUACUUAAUUAUCAAGGCUAUAAUACCAUAUCAAAGAACCAUCUCAACACAAUAACUUAAACUAUUAUAUAAGAUUUCAAGAUAUAAUUUAUAUUACUCUCUAAUCAAUUUCGAUAUUAUUUACAUGUAAGGGCAUAUUGUAAUCUGAAUGCCCCACGGAGACAGAAAGAGUUGGAAGAAAAAAGGCUAGAAGCUAGAUGCUAGAGCAUGGAGCUAUGGACCAAUCUAUGAACUUUUCAGCCACGCAGAGCAAUUUGUUGUUUGGAGCCCUUCUACUUUAUAAAUUCUGAAGAGGCAAGAAAAAGAAGACUUUCAUCUUUUUUCGAGAGACAGAAGGCAUGCUAAUGAAACUAGGGGUGGGGGAGUUUUGUAGGUGAAGACCACAGAUGAAGCACACAGGGGAAGGAAGAAUUAGAGCUUCGUGACAAACCUAAGAUUUUUGAAUUUCUCUUUCUUUUCAUGGUCAUGCAGCAGAUUAUCCUACGUAAACUCACCAUCACCACAAACAAGGAAGAGAUAAGAGAGCUGUUAGUCAGCAAAAUCUGCUGCAACUUGGUCUCCCUUGUUCUAUAAAUGGCUGCUGAUGUCGAGACUCAAAAAUCACUUCAAUUUCAAGAUCAAGAUUGAGUUUAUACACUAAUUCUUGCAUUAAUAUCAGUACUACUGCCAUUGAGACCAUGGCCUUCAAGACAUUUCUCUUUGUUUCUCUCGUGAUUGCUGCAAUAUUGGCAGCCCCAGUUGCUGAAGCUCAGCUUGGGCUUAUUGGCGGUCUUCUGGGUUUGAUCCGCAUCCAAGGGACUCUAUUUUGCACUGCCGAUGGCAAUAUUGGUGCUAAUGGCACAGCAACCCCUUUUCCCUAGUAUGCUUGCCCUGAUUCCUCUUCCUUUUCUUUUUUCUUUUCUUUUGAUCGAUAGUAAAGUAUCCUCGGACCAGAUUGUCAUGAUUACAUAGUUACCAUUCAUCACAUACGACAUCGUCGAAUGCAAUUUGACUUUGUUCUUCUUCUUAUCUUGCUUAUAAAGUUGUAAUUACAGUAACGGGUUUUUUCUUGCAGAUGCUCUCGUGCAGUUGCAAUGUGGAGGAAAUGUGGUUUCUACGUCAACCACCAAUGGAUCUGGGAUGUUUUCUAUCUUGUUGGAUCCUCUAAAUUAUAUUCUUUCCUCGGUAUUGAGCGACUGCAACCUGAAGGUCGAUACACCGCUGAUCAGCUGCAACUCCAGUCUCCCUGCUGUGGGUGGCCUCCUAUCACCCUUACAGUUCAUCGGGAACACUGCUCUAGGAGCCCUCCUGAGUGUUGCAAACAUCAUCCCUGCCGGAUUCCGAUUCGUGCCUUUAAAUUAAGGAGACCACUGUAGCUGAAGGCGGCAUUAUUAUUAUUAUUAGUAUGGCCAUUGCUAUGUACUACUUUAUAUGAAUAAGGCUGUUGUAUUAUACGUGUGUACUGUUUAUUGUUUUUUCUUGCUUCCCAA